GCCAGUUUACUCAAGCGGUCAACGAGGGCAGACUGUAAAUCUGCUGCCAUUAUGGCUACCUAGGUUCGAAUCCUAGAGCUGGCA
rnacentral:tRNA from 1 species